CACCGCGGUUAUACGAGAGGCCCAAGUUGACCAGCAUUCGGCGUAAAGGGUGGUUAAAAUUUUCCAAAACUAAAGCCGAACGCCCUCACGACUGUCGUACGUUUCCGAGGGUGGGAAGACCUACUACGAAAGUGGCUUUAAUAUCUUUGACCCCACGAAAGCUGUGAAA
rnacentral:rRNA from 1 species